GUUUAGUCGCCCCCCUCUAAAGAACCCACAAAAAAAAAAAAAAAGAUUCUUUCGCCUUUUACUAAAGAAUUCCGUGGAGGGGAGCAUUUCAAUGAGUCUUAAGAUUUUUUCUGCACCUG
rnacentral:snRNA from 1 species